GCUGAGCAUCGCAACUUCUGUUACUGCAGUGAAAAAAAUAUCCAGCUGGAAUCUGGAAAGGAAAACAGAAAUUAUGAUGAAGUUAGAUACCUUCACGGUGUUGCUUGCAGUUCUAAGCAUAGCUGCAAAAGCUGAAGAACUGUCAACCACAGCUUCACCGAUGACAACCACAGCGACUCUAAUUACAACAACAGUGGCUGAGACAACAAUCACAGCUGCUACGACAACUACCACAAGGAAUCCAACAACCACAGCAGCUCCAACUACAACCACAGUGGCUCCAACAACCACAGAUGGACCAACAACAACCACAGCAUCUCCAACAGCAACUACCACUGCAUCAGCAACAACUACAGCUGUACCAACAACGACCACAUCUGCACCAACAACUACAGCAGCUCCAACCACAACCACUGUGUCUGCAACCACAAGCACAGUGGCUCUAACAACAACCACAGCAUCUCCAACAACUACCCCUGCACCAACAACAACUACAGCAACUCCAACUACAACCACAACUGCACCAACAACUACAGCAGCUCCAACCACAACCACAGAGGCUCCAACCACAACCACAUUGGCUCCAACCACAACCACUGAGUCUCCAACCACAACCACUGUGGCUCCAACGACAACUACAGCUGUACCAA